CUUAGGCUCUUAAAGUUCUCCUGCAGACUCUUUCAUUCAGAACAUCAAGAUCGGAAUUGAGACAACAUGCAUGUGCCAUGUAGAUUCUGGUUCAAAAUUAGCCAUGAUGGCACAGUGCUUAGAAUGCAGUACUGCAGGCUACUUCUGCUGACUGCUGGCUGCCAACAGUUUUGCAGUUCGAUUCUGACUGGCUCAAGGUUGACUCAGCUUUCCAUCUUUCCGAGGUCAGUAAAAUAAGGACCCAGUUGUUGGGGGCAAGAUGCUGACUCUGUAAACCGCUUAGAGAGGACUGUAAAGCACUGUGAAGCAGUAUAUAAGUCUAAGUGCUAUUGCUAUUAGCCUGUAGAAGCUCAAUGUAAGGAAGCCAAGACCUCGUCAUUGAUCUUUUUAUUUAAUUAACAAAUUCAUGUGGCCACCCAUCUACUAUUGGAAGCAUGAAUGCUUAACAAAGAUAAGCACAUAAUAUAAUGAUCAAAGUCACUUUGAGAAAAAAAGACUAAAACAAAGUCAAGGCCCCAUUGAAAUCUCAGCACAAAUCGAAGAAUUGUCUAAGAAUAAAAUAAAGACUUCUAGACCCUGGCUUCCUAGUGCUACCAAUAACAAACACUACAAAUAUUUUGUUUUCUCUCCUUAAUGAUUUUAGAGGGACAGAAAAGGCAAGAUAGAAACAGUGGUGAAAAACACAGAAGUUAUAGAUCAGAGAUGGCUAACAUUUUUGCUGUUGCGUACCAAAAGCGAGGGGAGUGCAAGGGGGUUGCGCGUACGUGCGUGCCCACACCCAUAAUUCAAUGCACCCUACACCCCCGUGGGCGACCCUCCCGUGCCCCCCACUUUUGGCACAAGGUGGCACAGCAGGACUGGUAGGCCUGUUUUUCACCCUCCCCAGGCUACAGAGGGUUUCUUGGAACCUGGAGAGGGCGAAAAUGGCAUCCCCCCCCGAGGCCCUCUGGAGGCCGGAAACAGGCCAUUUCCUGACUUCCAGUGGGCCCGGAAGGCCCGAAAAUCAGAUGGCUGGCACAGGCAUGCUCCCUGGAGCUGAGCUAGGGCAACGCUUGCAUGCCUACAGAUAUAGCUCCGCAUGCCAUCUGUGGCACGCGUGCCAUAGGUUCGCCAUCACAAUUAUAGAUGGAACACAGCUGUUUUCUAAAUUGUCCAAUAAAGUUCUAAUUUUGAGAAAAGGCAAUUGGAGAAUAAAAGAAUAGUCAAAGCCUAUUAGACUCAAAGGCCUCAAGAAUAUUAUAUUGGGCAACUUCAUUCUUUUGCUUAAAGAAUAGCAUGUUAAAUAAUAAUUUGUUAAAAUGAUAAAUAUCACUUUUUAAAAUCAGAAGGCAGUUGGACAAUAUCUUGGAUAUUUGACUUAAUUCUGCCAUUUGUCCAAAUUCUAAUUGAUAUUAUCUCUAUUUAGGUCUUCACUAUCCAAGAGCAAUCUUGACAUGAUGGCUAGAAGAAAUCUGGGCUAAUAUUGUUCCCAUGAUAUAAUAUGCAUGCCUAUCACCUUAUUGGUUGAUGCUGAAAUAGCAUUAAUCUGAAGAAAAUCAGUUCUGCUUAACUUCUGAACACAUAACUGGAGAAUCAGUGAGAUAUCGAUAAGAUGAAGUUCGAGCAUGGGCCCAUUGGCCAUGUUGAUUACUGAUAGGUCUGGCUGGACUUGUUCAACAAAACUGAGGUAGUCUUCGUUUAGUGACUUCCUUGAACAGCGAUCGUUUGCAGUUUCAAUGGGUUCAUGUGGGCAGCACCUUUAAAGAAGACCAUCUGUUCCAGUCACUUGGAUCAGAAGAAAGGAGUUGCCCCAUUCCAGCUGAUGGCGGCUCCUUCCCAUUUAGUUCGAAUGGCCAUUUCCAGAGAUGGCACUCUUUUGUUGGGAUCCCUGUCAUCCACACAAUGGUUUUCUUCCCAGUGAUGAGAAUGUGUAUCUACGAAGAGAACAGCAAACAUGCAUUUAUUCUGUUUCUGGCAAAACAUAUCUUGAGUUCAUUUUAGCAUUAAUUCAGCGUAUAGCCAUAUCUUGAAAUUAGAAGUGCAGAUCAGUCUCAGUCACUUUUUGAAAUGUUUCUCAGAAUAAAGCUCACAAAAUGUAACCUUUGUGAAAGAAAUGAUACAAAGGAAAAUGAUUGUGCCCUAUGUUCACACAGCUACAUUUCAGAUUAGGACCAUUGCCUACAGUUUUUGAUACAGAAGACCAAGUGGCCAAGACCAGUCCUGUAUACUUCCAGAGUACGUGAAAUAGAAGACAUAGGAAGGUGGAUAUUGGUUAAAUGUUAGAAAAAAAACAUUCCCAGCAGUGAAACCAAUUAUCCAAAGAUAUACUGGGUUCCCUUCCUGGGAGAUAUUCAAAUAAAGGCUAGGUAGGAAAAGGAUGCUUUAAUUUGGAUUAUUGCACUGGUCAGAGAGUUGGACUCAAUAGCCUCAAUGAUCUCUUUGAAGUCUAGGAAUCACAGAAUAUUUUGAAAUAUGAAAAUGCGAUUGUACAUUUAUCAUUCUACAUCAUUAGCUUGUUGGAAUUUCUUCACACAUUUCCAUUUACUAGGCCAUUGUUUUCAGUGGUCUCUCUCUCUCUCUCUCUCUCUCUCUCUCUCUCUCUCUCUCUCUCUCUCUCCAGUCAUUCAUCUAUUUAUCCAUCUAUUUAUCCACUCAAUGGAGACCUCUCAAAUAUUUAAAAAGGAAUGUAGGACUAUUUCCCACAGUCAACUUGCCAUGGUGAACUGGCCAACUCGCCACUGCCAACUUGUCAUGGGACAAUUCACCGUGGAACAAGAGUUACACUAAUAUUGAAUAAAUUGUGGAAUAGAAUCAUUUAAAAAAGGAUUCCAAAGGAGGGACAAAAUGAAAUGUGAAUGACAAAAAAUAAAAUAUUUGUUUUUAGUUGUUUUAAACAAUUAAACCCAAUUGUUGAAUUGUCCUGCAGUGAAUUGGCCAUGGCGAAUUGUCCCAUGGUGAAUUGGCCAUGGCAAGUUGGUCACAAUGAAUUGUCCCAUUCCAUUUAAAAAGCCCCUUCUUGCCAAGUAUGUUCUCAUUCUAGCAUAGUAUUAGUACUCCAUACUAUGAUAUUCAAACCUCUACAUUUUUAUUACAGCACUUCAGCACGUCACUUAUUGUAUACAAUAGAGAACAGUUUUAUGAUAUAUAUGGUCUUUAGGUAAGUCUUUUAAUGGCUUAUAAGGCUUGAAACAACUGGAGUAUUUCCCUUACCUUUAUUGGCAAUGAUUUUGGAAUUUUCCCCAGAAACUUUCAAGUACAUUCUCAGUCAGAGCUGGAUCUUUUAAGGUGCUAGAUUGUUAAUUUUAAUUUGUUUACAGUUUGGGUGAUUUUCUAAGAAUUUUUAGGAAUACUUUUUAAUCUGGGGUUCAUCACUUUACAGUUAAAAAUUAGAAGGGGCAUUUAGAUCAAUAUCACUUUUAAAAUAUGAUUUACAAUGAUCAGAAAAGACAGGAAAAUGGAUUUAAGCAUUACUUGUGAGAAAAAAAAUAAGCAUCUUCCUUUAAUCUUUCUCCAAGAAAUAUAAAUGCCUACCUAUUGUUAGACGAACAGUUUUCUUUUGGGAGGGCUUGCCUUUAUAAAAAUAUAAAUCAAAGAGAUGUUCCAUUUUCCAAUCAGACAAUAACAACCUGUUUAAGCUGAAGAGAAUGCUGUAUGUUUCAUUUAUGUUGCACAGCCAUAUUGGCAAUUUUGGUGUCUUCAACAUGCUUCCAACCUGUAGUAUAAAAGUUGUAGUUAUGGAUCAAGUGAAAUAAAAUGCAUUUGCAUGUUUUUUUUAGAAUUACAUAUUUCUAAAUUUAAAAUGCAAACACUUCACUCUAAAAAGAUUAAACUGGCAUAAAAGUAAAAUGAGAUUCAUUGUCUGCAAAAAAUAGUGAUAGUUCUUUAUUUCAACCACCCUGGGAACAAUUCUGGAUUCUUCUGAGGGAUGUCUAAUUAGCCAUGUCUGGGAUAAUAAGCUAUCAUUCCCCAAGAUCUUUAAUUCUUCUAAAAUGCCAUCAAGUGGAGUGUGAAAGUUACGGCAGUCCAAGAAAUAGCCUGAAUUAUCCAGUGAAGCUGAAUGAUGAAAGAGAAAAACACAUGAAUUAUAAAAUUAUUUUUCAUGAGUUGUGGCAACAUCACCAACCUAACAAAUAUUAAACAGAGAUUUAUACAA